AGCGAACGCUGGCGGCAGGCCUAAUACAUGCAAGUCGAGCGCACCUUCGGGUGAGCGGCGGACGGGUGAGUAACGCGUGGGAACGUGCCCUUUGCUACGGAACAACUGAGGGAAACUUCAGCUAAUACCGUAUGUGCCCUUCGGGGGAAAGAUUUAUCGGCAUUGGAGCGGCCCGCGUUGGAUUAGGUAGUUGGUGAGGUAAAGGCUCACCAAGCCUACGAUCCAUAGCUGGUCUGAGAGGAUGAUCAGCCACACUGGGACUGAGACACGGCCCAGACUCCUACGGGAGGCAGCAGUAGGGAAUCUUGCGCAAUGGGCGAAAGCCUGACGCAGCCAUGCCGCGUGAAUGAUGAAGGUCUUAGGAUUGUAAAAUUCUUUCACCGGGGAAGAUAAUGACGGUACCCGGAGAAGAAGCCCCGGCUAACUUCGUGCCAGCCGCC
rnacentral:rRNA from 1 species